CUACUACUUUUUAAUGCUUGUGUUUACAUGAAAUUCUGUGAUUUGUCGCAUUGUUUUGAAUUUUUACUAAUCUUCUGUCAGUUGUAUAUUUUCAGGGACGUGGACCAGGGACGACGCAGGAGGACCAGGGCCGAGCAAGAGAAGAUGCGGUGUCCAUUGCCCAGCUGUGUCCAGCCGCCAACAUUGGCCAAAGCGGUACAGGGUUAGACUGCUGUGGUUCCGCAGAAGGAGCAGACCGUAACCUGCCGACCGGAGUUCAACGAUGGACUGCGGCCAAUCCAAGACGCGAGGGUGGAAGCUUAGGCUGUGCCGGAUGUAGAGGUGAAGAGGAAAGCAUCAGACAGAAGAAGAGUCCACUGCGGGCAACCCCCUGAAGUGAGGAGGAGGAGAUGAAGGCUGAGCAGCAUCCCACAGUGAGAGAGAGUGUCUUCAGUGCAACUGCAGCUGUCACCGG